GGGUGAGAUCAUACCAAUGUUAAUGCACCAGAUCCCAUCAGAACUCCACAGUUAAGCAUGCUUGGGCUAGAGUAGAAUUGGGAUGGGUGACCUCACGGGAAGUCCUAGUGUUGCACCCU
rfam:Picea glauca, whole genome shotgun sequence.